UGCUUUUCUUUAUUCAGUAUUUGGUAAUUUCAGGCAGCAAUUAGUCACGCGCAAGGCGCGUGCAAAUUUACUUUCUCUAUUUAUUCGGGCAUCUUAGUUGAUUCCCAAAUGCUCAAUAAUUGUGUCUUUAGGGUUAGGGCUCUUUAUUUUCUCUGUUCAUCAGGUUCUUUUUAUCUCUUCGAAUUUUCAUUACAGACCCUGAUCCUAAACUCUGAAUUAUGUCUUCCAAGCAAGGUGGCAAAGCAAAGCCUUUGAAGCAACCCAAAGCUGAGAAGAAAGAAUACGACGAGCAUGAUUUGGCUAACAUUCAGAAAAAGAAAGAAGAAGAGAAGGCCCUUAGAGAGCUGAGAGCAAAGGCAUCACAAAAGGGAUCAUUUGGUGGUUCUGGUCUUAAGAAGAGUGGCAAGAAAUGAGUUUCUUAAAAACCCGAGCUAAACCGAACUUAUCGAGUCCUGUCUUGGGAUUAAAACAUCUAUUAUGCUGAUGUCUCUUGUUUCUAUUGUGAUAGUUGGGAUGAUUUGAUGCUCUAGUUUCAUUCUGAAUUUGCUAUAAAAAACAUUGUGUGUAAUUUCGUGACGUAUAACUUAAUAAAUUCAAGUUCUACGUUUGUGUUUUUUGUCUAUACAUUUGUAAAUCUCCUAUUGUUGUGGUUCGCUAUUGUUUUCCUUGCUUCUUAUGAAUUCUUGUAAGAUAUGCAUCUCAUCUUUGAAUGAUUGGUUCUGAUUUAUGCGGUGAAUCAUGUAUGAGUAGUUAGUUAGACUGUCGGUGUUCUCGUCUAGCGAAUUUUAACACCUAAUGAAUGAGCAUGUAAGGCUUUAAAUGUGCCUUUAGCUUAUGCGUGCUUAUCAGCGCCUGACCCUGAGACGUGGAUCAAGGGUUAGGGUUUAGAAAUCUUUUUGGUUAUCGUAAGGAUAAAAACCAAAACGUUGUAGUCCAUCGCUUACCGAUGUAUGACCAAGGAUGUUAAAAUUCAUGGUACAUUGGUUUAAGAUGAAUCGAGAUCAAUUUUCUUGCCUACAUAGAUAGAGGCUAACUAUGUGCUAUUGUCACGGGUCUCUAGUAUGGUUCAUGGACCUGAAUCGUAUUAUGUUGGAAACUUGUGCUUUCCUUUUGUCGUCUAUCUAUUUUCUGGUCUUAACCCAUUUGCAUCUUCAAUUCAAUUUUUAGUUGGAAUAUAACCCUCUAAUUACAUGGAUAAACAUGAAAAAAAUUGAUAGUGGUCCCUUUUAAAUUUGAUAUUGAGUAAAUUGGUCUUUUUCAAAUGAAGUGGAAUGAUAUAGCUAGUGUUAACUUUAGAAGUGAGCAACUUCAGUGUUUAUCAAUUUAUUUUACUUUAGAUUGCCAAAAUAAUAAAUUUAAUUUGCUAAAAUUAAAUAUUCUUAUUGGUAUGUUAUAAGGUUUUGAGAGUGCUAAAUUUAUUAUUAUAUUAAUUAGAAGUGAGAAAAUUGGUAGAAAAAAUGAAUACUUAUCAAUUUCAAAGUUGAUAGAGAUUAAAUUGAACGGUUUAAAAUUGUUUUGUAUUUUUGAAAGGAUACAAGUUGCUAAAUAUUGAUAUUGGAAGAGACUGAAAUUGUCUUUUAUAAAAAAUAAAAAUGACCAUGAAGAGCACAACCAUUUUUGAUACUCAAAACAAGAAUCCAAAUUCCAAGAGAAAAAUAUUUAAAUUGGUUAACCAUCGUUCAUCCAUGUUAUGUAAAGAGCAGGAUUAGGAAGACUACAAAUAAAACAGAGCCUACACGGUUUUUAUUACAGAACAAGACCAAAGAACAAUCAACCUUUCUACCAGCUUAUGUUACAAAAAACCAGUCCCUAGUUUAUUACUAAUUGUCAAAACGUUCACCGUUAAUUGAUGAUAGAAUGGCGGAAUCUACGGUAGGUUUUCUUUUUGGUGCUCCGAUCAAAAUUAGCUGGCUUCCAAUCCGACGGACUCAACUAACAUUCACAACUAGUCGAUUUCUGAGGCCAACCACCGUCGACGACAUCAAUAUUUUCAGGAAGGUUCAUUCUUGAGAACAUUUUUGGCUAUACAUUCAAAUGCGGCAUCAACAUUGAAUCCUUCUUUUGCUGAUGUCUCGAAGUGCGGUAUGUUUCCCUUUGAAACAGACCAUGCCAUUGCCGUCUUUUCAGAAAU